rnacentral:tRNA from 1 species
GCUGAAGUAGCUCAGUUGGGAGAGCGUUAGGCUGUAGAUCGAGAGGUCCCUGGUUCGAUCCCGGGAUUCAGUA